AUCCCCGGGCUUAACCUGGGAACUGCAUUUGUGACUGCGAGACUAGAGUGUGGCAGAGGGGGGUAGAAUUCCACGUGUAGCAGUGAAAUGCGUAGAGAUGUGGAGGAAUACCGAUGGCGAAGGCAGCCCCCUGGGCCAACACUGACGCUCAUGCACGAAAGCGUGGGGAGCAAACAGGAUUAGAUGCCCUGGUAGUCCACGCCCUAAACGAUGUCAACUAGUUGUUGGGGAAGGAGACUUCCUUAGUAACGCAGCUAACGCGUGAAGUUGACCGCCUGGGGAGUACGGUCGCAAGAUUAAAACUCUGAAGGAAUUGACGGGGACCCGCACAAGCGGUGGAUUAUGUGGAUUAAUUCGAUGCAACGCGAAAAACCUUACCUACCCUUGACAUGCCAGGAACUUUCCAGAGAUGGAUUGGUGCCCGAAAGGGAACCUGGACACAGGUGCUGCAUGGCUGUCGUCAGCUCGUGUCGUGAGAUGUUGGGUUAAGUCCCGCAACGAGCGCAACCCUUGCCAUUAAUUGCCAUCAUUCAGUUGGGCACUUUAAUGGGACUGCCGGUGAUAAACCGGAGGAAGGUGGGGAUGACGUCAAGUCCUCAUGGCCCUUAUGGGUAGGGCUUCACACGUAAUACAAUGGUCGGUACAGAGGGUUGCCAACCCGCGAGGGGGAGCUAAUCCCAGAAAGCCGAUCGUAGUCCGGAUUGUUCUCUGCAACUCGAGAGCAU
rnacentral:rRNA from 1 species